rnacentral:rRNA from 1 species
UACGUAGGUGGCAAGCGUUGUCCGGAUUUACUGGGCGUAAAGAGCGCGCAGGCGGUCGAUUUAGUCGCGUGUGAAAGCCCCCGGCUCAACUGGGGAGGGUCAUCGAUACUGAUCGACUCGAAGGCAGGAGAGGGUAGUGGAAUUCCCGGUGUAGUGGUGAAAUGCGUAGAGAUCGGGAAGAACACCCGUGGCGAAGGCGGUGUGCUGGGUUGCAAACUGACGCUGAGAUGCGAAAGUGUGGGGAGCAAACGGGG